rnacentral:rRNA from 1 species
UGAAUUGACGGGGCCCGCACAAGCGGUGGAGCAUGUGGUUUAAUUCGACGCUACGCGAAGAACCUUACCUGGGCUUGAACUGCUGGUGGUAGAAGCCCGAAAGGGUAACGACCCGGAGCAAUCCGGGAGCCAGUAGAGGUGCUGCAUGGCUGUCGUCAGCUCGUGUCGUGAGAUGUUGGGUUAAGUCCCGCAACGAGCGCAACCCUUACCCUUAGUUGCCAGCGGGUAAUGCCGGGCACUCUAAGGGGACCGCCCCGGAUAACGGGGAGGAAGGCGGGGAUGACGUCAAGUCAGCAUGGCCCUUAUGUCCAGGGCUACACACGUGCUACAAUGGGCGAUACAGAGGGAAGCAAGGCCGCAAGGUAGAGCUAAUCCCUAAAGUCGUCCUCAGUUCGGAUUGCAGGCUGCAACUCGCCUGCAUGAAGUCGGAAUCGCUAGUAAUCGCGGAUCAGCUACGCCGCGGUGAAUACGUUCUCGGGCCUU